GGGGAAGCUCGCCAGUGGGUGGAAGCCUAAUUCUUCUUGAAUGGGUGCAUCACUCUUUCAUUUUAUUUUGCUUUGGUUUUUGCUGCCACCAUUGCCCUUGAAAAUCAGAUUCUAGAUUCUCCAGGCUCUGAACAAGGACUCACACCAGAGACUCCUGGGAACGCUCUAGGGCUUCAGCCUCGGACUGUGACUACACCGGUGGUGGUGGUCCUUCUCAUCGUUCUAAGGCUCUGCCUUCUUGGGACUAAUCAGCUCCUGGUUCUCCAGCUCUCCAGCUUGCAAAUGCUACUUGGGGACUCUCUGGCCUCUGAGUUCGUGAGGCGAUCAGGUGGAUUCCCUCCAGUGAGUGCCUUGAUGUCCGUCAACCACCUGCCCCAAGAAGAUGCUUCCAAUUUCCUGCCUGGAAGGUGCACACCUGGGAGCCAAAGGGAAAGGAGUUUAGGGAUUUCAGCAUUCAUCACCUAAACAUCUGCUGGUUUUUAGUGCAGAAGCCGCUCUGCUCUCCAGGCAAUAAACCUCCAGUGUUCUGCUGGGGUAGAGGAGAGAUUGUCACCCAGGAGAGGAGGUCGGAGG
rnacentral:lncRNA from 1 species